UACGUAGGGGGCAAGCGUUGUCCGGAUUUAUUGGGCGUAAAGAGCGCGUAGGCGGGUCUUUAAGUCAGAUGUGAAAUCCCCAGGCUCAACCUGGGAACAGCAUUUGAAACUGAAGAUCUUGAGGGUAGUCGGAGAAAAUGGAAUUCCACGUGUAGCGGUGAAAUGCGUAGAUAUGUGGAAGAACACCGGUGGCGAAGGCGAUUUUCUAGAUUAUACCUGACGCUGAGGCGCGAAAGCAAGGGGAUCAAACAGG
rnacentral:rRNA from 1 species